UACAGAGGUGGCAAGCGUUGUUCGGAAUUACUGGGCGGAAAGGGCGCGUAGGCGGCCUUCUAAGUCAGACGUGAAAUCCCCCGGCUUAACCUGGGAACUGCGUCUGAUACUGGAAGGCUUGAGUGCGGGAGAGGGAUGUGGAAUUCCAGGUGUAGCGGUGAAAUGCGUAGAUAUCUGGAGGAACACCGGUGGCGAAGGCGGGUCUCUGGGCCGAUACUGACGCUGAGGAGCGAAAGCGUGGGGAGCGAACAGG
rnacentral:rRNA from 1 species